rnacentral:rRNA from 1 species
AUUGAACGCUGGCGGCAGGCCUAACACACGCAAGUCGAACGGUAACAGGAAACAGCUUGCUGUUUCGCUGACGAGUGGCGGACGGGUGAGUAAUGUCUGGGAAACUGCCUGAUGGAGGGGGAUAACUACUGGAAACGGUAGCUAAUACCGCAUAACGUCGCAAGACCAAAGAGGGGGACCUUCGGGCCUCUUGCCAUCGGAUGUGCCCAGAUGGGAUUAGCUAGUAGGUGGGGUAACGGCUCACCUAGGCGACGAUCCCUAGCUGGUCUGAGAGGAUGACCAGCCACACUGGAACUGAGACACGGUCCAGACUCCUACGGGAGGCAGCAGUGGGGAAUAUUGCACAAUGGGCGCAAGCCUGAUGCAGCCAUGCCGCGUGUAUGAAGAAGGCCUUCGGGUUGUAAAGUACUUUCAGCGGGGAGGAAGGGAGUAAAGUUAAUACCUUUACUCAUUGACGUUACCCGCAGAAGAAGCACCGGCUAACUCCGUG